rnacentral:rRNA from 1 species
UAGGGAAUCUUCGGCAAUGGACGAAAGUCUGACCGAGCAACGCCGCGUGAGUGAAGAAGGUUUUCGGAUCGUAAAACUCUGUUGUUAGAGAAGAACAAGGACGUUAGUAACUGAACGUCCCCUGACGGUAUCUAACCAGAAAGCCACGGCUAACUACAUGCCAGCAGCCGCGGUAAUACGUAGGUGGCAAGCGUUGUCCGGAUUUAUUGGGCGUAAAGCGAGCGCAGGCGGUUUCUUAAGUCUGAUGUGAAAGCCCCCGGCUCAACCGGGGAGGGUCAUUGGAAACUGGGAGACUUGAGUGCAGAAGAGGAGAGUGGAAUUCCAUGUGUAGCGGUGAAAUGCGUAGAUAUAUGGAGGAACACCAGUGGCGAAGGCGGCUCUCUGGUCUGUAACUGACGCUGAGGCUCGAAAGCGUGGGGGGCAAACAGG